UUCGUAAAGCGUAACGGGCAAGAUGUUUUCGUUCGCUCUGGCUGUUUGCAUGAUGUUUGCAGCAAACACCGCUGCUAGAAGCGAUCCUGACGCGUACGCAGAAGAUCCGAAACACGUCAACGAGCAGAAACUUUCAGCACGGGAGCUUUGAAGUCGUCGUGACCUCAAUGACAACUGGUGAUCACAAAGAAGAGAAUGCGGCGAGUUAUCAAGAAAGCCCAAAUGAGGUUGCAGCAACUCACAAAAUUGUGACCAUGAACGACGAACGCACUUGCUUCCUUUUAUCGCUGCAAUAUGGCUCCUCAAACGUUUGCCUUUUACUGAUGACAGCAGACACAGUUGGCAGCGAGGUGAUUCCUGAGCCGUGUAAUAGCGUCUACGAACAAUACUGCGGAGAAAGCAUCGAAAUAUAUCAGAGCCAUUGUUCGCCGCCGCCCUCUUAAUAGUACACCAACAUUGCAAACAUAUGCAGAAUAGGUCUUGUGUGAAUAAAAAUGUGCUACAGUGAU